GUAGCCUGCGCUCAGGAUCAAACCAGGGAUCCGGGAGAUCCGGAAACACGAGAGGUGAAAGGUGAAAACUAUAUAUGAUAUUCCAAGUAUUGUGAAGCCUGCUUUGAAUGCAGCUGUAACAUCCAAAAACAUUCACCCUGGUUUCCAAACUACAGCCACACUCUCAAUCAUCUCUCCAUGCUCCAAAAGAGAGCCAAGGAAAAACUGAAGAGGUAGUAUAAGAGCCUCACCAAAACACCAGUGAAGCAAGCAUGGAUGGAAGAAAAGAAGACAUUAAGCAAAAAUGAAAUAAUGA